rnacentral:lncRNA from 1 species
AUAAUUUAAUAUAUAUAUAAUACUUAAUAUAAAACAACAUACUUAAAUAUUAAUAUAUAAACCAUAAAACUUAAUAAAAUAAAUAAUAUAUCAAAUUUAAUUAAUUUAUAUUAUAUAAUAAGAUUUAAGUAUAAAUAUAAAUAUACUAUCAUAAAGAUAAUAUAGUUAUAUAUAUUUUAUUUGAAUUACGCUGGAAUACUAUUAAUAGUAAAACGCUCUAUUUGCUAUCAAGUUUUUAAUCCUUGGAUGAAAAAUUGUAGGGUCAGGAUGAUAUUAGUCGGUUAGAGUUGAGUGAUCCCCACUGGGUUAUAGUAUUUAAUCUAAUAGUUAGAAAUAAUGAAAAGAGUUGAUCUAAAGGCUAAAAAACUGAUAGCAACAAUGGGAUUUUGCUACUAAUAGUAGCUGAGUCCAACUAAUUUUAUUUAUAUAUAUAUUUAUCUAAUAAAAUAAAGAGAAGAAUAUAGUUGUUCUUCCCUAGGAACCACUU